CUGGUCCCCCUCAUCCCUUGCUGGGCACUUUGAGGAGGAGCAGAACCAAGAAACAGGACUCGCAGAGGCCUCAGACCUCCCCUACUCAAAGUUCAGGGACUCGGAGCCUGGGAGGCUGGGGUGGGAGGGAGGAAGGAGGCGGCGCUGGCCGCUAAAUUUGUUCAUCCUGUCAGUCCCUUAAUCUGAUCCCCGAGGAACAACGCAGAGGCUUCACUCUGGAUGACAAACGAGGAGGGGAGAGGCCUGCCCUGCCUGGACUCUGGGUCUUUUCUGAAUGGACCUGACCAUUUCGAAGAACAGAAUGGCAAUUUCACAUGGUGCAACCGGGGAGGUGAACCUCCCAGCCCAGAGCCGGCCUGCAGCGGCACUCACCCCAGCAGCUGUCGUAGCGGAGCAAGCCUGCGUCCUCUAUAAACCCAGAGAUGGCUGUUAUCAUCCUAUUUCACAGAUUGAGAACUUGAGGUUGAGAGAGGAUGAUGGGUAUUAGUUUCCUGGAGCUGCCGUCACUGGCUUCAAACAACAGAAAUUUGUUCUCUCACAGUCCUGGAGGCUAGACGUCCAAAAUCAAGGUGUCGGCAGGAGGCACCUGGGUGGCUCAGUUGGUUAAGCAUCUGACUCUUGGCU
rnacentral:lncRNA from 1 species